CCUACGGGGGACAGCAGUGGGGAAUAUUGGGCCUUGGAGGCAACUCUGACCUAGCAAUGCCGCGUGAGUGAUGAAGGUAAUUUUAUUGUAAAGCUCUUUUCUUUGGAACGAAUAAAUGACGGUACCAAAUGAAUAAGCCCCGGCUAACUACGUGCCAGCAGCCGCGGUAAUACGUAGGGGGCAAGCGUUGUUCGGAAUGACUGGGCGUAAAGGGUGUGUAGGUGGUUUGAUAAUUUAGAUGUGUAAUACCCAGGACUUAACUUGGGUUCUGCAUCUAAAAAUGGUAGACUUGAGUACUGGAGAGGAUAGUGGAAUUCCUAGUGUAGCGGUUGAAUGCGUAGAUAUUAGGAGGAACAUCAGUGGCGAAGGCGACUAUCUGGACAGCAACUGACACUGAGGCACGAAAGCGUGGGGAGCAAACAGGAUUAGAUACCCUGGUAGUC
rnacentral:rRNA from 1 species